GUACUCUUAUUGGUAGAAUGCAUAAUUUCAGGUUUUAUAAUAUAGUAGGUUCAAAUCCUACAGAGUACA
rnacentral:tRNA from 1 species